rnacentral:rRNA from 1 species
AUUGAACGCUGGCGGAAUGCUUUACACAUGCAAGUCGAACGGUAGAGGGGGCAACCCCUCGAGAGUGGCGAACGGGUGAGUAAUAUAUCGGAACGUGCCCGGUCGUGGGGGAUAACGUAGCGAAAGUUACGCUAAUACCGCAUACGAUCUAAGGAUGAAAGCGGGGGAUCGCAAGACCUCGCGCGAUUGGAGCGGCCGAUAUCAGAUUAGGUAGUUGGUGGGGUAAAGGCUCACAAAGCCAACGAUCUGUAGCUGGUCUGAGAGGACGACCAGCCACACUGGAACUGAGACACGGUCCAGACUCCUACGGGAGGCAGCAGUGGGGAAUUUAGGACAAUGGACGCAAGUCUGAUCCAGCCAUUCCGCGUGCAGGAUGAAGGCCCUCGGGUUGUAAACUGCUUUUGUACGGAACGAAAAGGUCUCUCUUAAUACGGGGGACUCAUGACGGUACCGUAAGAAUAAGCACCGGCUAACUACGUGCCAGCAGCCGCCGUAACAC